AUUGAACGCUGGCGGCAGGCCUAACACAUGCAAGUCGAACGAGUGGCGGACGGGUGAGUAAUGUCUGGGAAACUGCCUGAUGGAGGGGGAUCACUACUGGAAACGGUAGCCAAAACCGCAUACCAUCGGAGGUGCCCAGAUGGGAUUAGCUAGGUGGUGGGGUAACGGCUCACCAAGGCGACGAUCCCUAGCUGGUCUGAGAGGAUGACCAGCCACACUGGAACUGAGACACGGUCCAGACUCCUACGGGAGGCAGCAGUGGGGAAUAUUGCACAAUGGGCGAAAGCCUGAUCCAGCCAUGCCGCGUGUGUGAAGAAGGCCUUCGGGUUGUAAAGUACUUUCAGCGGGGAGGCGUUACCCGCAGAAGAAGCACCGGCUAACUCCGUGCCAGCAGCCGCGGUAAUAC
rnacentral:rRNA from 1 species